rnacentral:rRNA from 1 species
UACGGAGGAUGCAAGCGUUAUCCGGAUUUAUUGGGUUUAAAGGGUGCGUAGGCGGGAAAAUAAGUCAGUGGUGAAAUCCUACAGCUUAACUGUAGAAUUGCCGUUGAUACUGUUUUUCUUGAGUAUGGUCAAGGAAGGCGGAAUGUGUAAUGUAGCGGUGAAAUGCUUAGAUAUUACACAGAACACCAAUUGCGAAGGCAGCUUUCUGGCCCAUUACUGACGCUGAGGCACGAAAGCGUGGGGAUCGAACAGGAUUAGAUACCCGCGUA